rnacentral:lncRNA from 1 species
AACUGCUGAGAGUAGGUUGCAACGGGGUGAAGACAGAGCCGUGGGGCCUGUUAGGACACUACUGAAGUAACCCAGAAAUAACAGCAAAUAAGUACAAGAAAGAUGAGAGCGAGAGAGAGAGAGACCGUGAGCGCAAGAAUUACACCCGGUAUGGAAGACGACUCUAAAUAAUGAACUUCUCUUGAGGCAAAAGAGAUGCCCCUCGAACUAACUGAGCUUUAACUUAAUGGAACCCAGACAGGAGCUGCAUGAUCCAACUUCCUAUCCAGGGAUUCUGAGAGGCUGAACAAUUCUAGCCAAGAAAACGAUUAUAAUAUUGAUGAAAUCAAAGCAUCUAGAAGACCGUGCAUUCCAUUUUUAAUCUAGCUGAGAUGGCAUAAUUCAUACCUCCUCAAAUUUGGACAAUUAUAAAUGACUCAACCAGCGAGUGCCAAAUUCCACCUACACCCUGAGUAUACCUGAAGCAACCACCGAAACCCAAGCUAAUCGCCAGAUGUAUGCUCACUGAGUGGGUAACUUACCUAACCUUGAGCUCCAUAAAGUACUCUCCUGAUCUUCUGGCGAAUAAUUCAGCAAACGUCUUUCGUUGCUUGAGAAUGCCCUGGGAGGCCUCCUUCUUAUCCUCAGUAAGCUUGUCAGCAUGUUUCUUCCAAGCACAUAUAGCACUUCCCCAGAGAGAUCUAACAAAAUAAAAAGUUUCCUCUUCUCAUUAUAACUUGAGUGAUAACAUGAUUUCUAUUGCUCAGCGUUAGUCUAGGCCCAGGGAGAUAUAUAGGAGA